rnacentral:rRNA from 1 species
AGUUUGAUCCUGGCUCAGAUUGAACGCUGGCGGCAGGCCUAACACAUGCAAGUCGAGCGGUAGAGAGAAGCUUGCUUCUCUUGAGAGCGGCGGACGGGUGAGUAAUGCCUAGGAAUCUGCCUGGUAGUGGGGGAUAACGUUCGGAAACGGACGCUAAUACCGCAUACGUCCUACGGGAGAAAGCAGGGGACCUUCGGGCCUUGCGCUAUCAGAUGAGCCUAGGUCGGAUUAGCUAGUUGGUGAGGUAAUGGCUCACCAAGGCGACGAUCCGUAACUGGUCUGAGAGGAUGAUCAGUCACACUGGAACUGAGACACGGUCCAGACUCCUACGGGAGGCAGCAGUGGGGAAUAUUGGACAAUGGGCGAAAGCCUGAUCCAGCCAUGCCGCGUGUGUGAAGAAGGUCUUCGGAUUGUAAAGCACUUUAAGUUGGGAGGAAGGGUUGUAGAUUAAUACUCUGCAAUUUUGACGUUACCGACAGAAUAAGCACCGGCUAACUCUGUGCCAGCAGCCGCGGUAAUACAGAGGGUGCAAGCGUUAAUCGGAAUUACUGGGCGUAAAGCGCGCGUAGGUGGUUUGUUAAGUUGGAUGUGAAAUCCCCGGGCUCAACCUGGGAACUGCAUUCAAAACUGACUGACUAGAGUAUGGUAGAGGGUGGUGGAAUUCCUGUGUAGCGGUGAAAUGCGUAGAUAUAGGAAGGAACACCAGUGCGAAGGCGACCACCGACUAAUAC